rfam:Fungal sp. No.14919 DNA, contig: Contig0059.
GGUCGCUUAACUCAGUUGGUUAGAGUGUCGUACUAAUAUCAUAAGAGAUUAUAUAUUAGCAAUGCGAAAGUCAUGAGUUCGACCCUCAUAGUGACCA